CCGAGUACCGGGUCUCCGGGCCCCUACUCCCACCCUUUGUGUACCUACCUGUUUUCGUUGCCUCGGCGGGGUCGAUCCCUACGGCCUGCACGGCCCGCGGGGGACCCGCCGGGGGGACACACCUAAACUCUUGUCAACGGUGACGUCUGAGAAACAAACAAACUAGUCA
rnacentral:misc_RNA from 1 species